rnacentral:lncRNA from 1 species
UUUAUUUGAAUUAUCUUCCAAGAUUAUAAUAUCUUCCGAAGUUGAUUCAGUAGGUACCGCGGUAUGAGGUUCUUCAGGUUGUGAAACUUCCGGUGCUCUAGUUGGCUCCUUCGUUGCAGGUUUUGACUGCUCCUCCGUUGCAGGUUUUGACUGCUCCUCUGAACCCAAUAAUGAGUGAAAUGAAAGAUUCACUGAAGAUCUGAUCUGCUCCAACUUACUCUCUUCCUUCUCCUAGAUAACAAGAAGUUAGCAAGGAA